AUACUUAUCAGGUAGAGGAGAAUACCAUGAUCCCAAUGAUAUUUUUCCUAAGGUGAGGCUUGUCCAUUGCUCUCUGGAUGUGUGAACCACCUUAUACUAUGUGUC
rnacentral:snRNA from 1 species